AUAUUUUGGAUAUACCGUGUUAAAAUGUGUUAUUAAAACUAAUGUCACAUAUUUCUUUUUUACUUUUUAAAGAUGGCUACUUAGAAAAUUUAAAAUCAUGCAUGUGACUUAGAUUUGUAACUUGUAUUAUAUUUCUACUGGACAGCGCUGCCCUAGACCAAAUCAUCUGAUUCAGCAGCUCAAAUUCUGAAGCUAGCAAUCUUAGCUGGAACAAGUACCAAAAAUCAGUUCUCAGCCUAAGUACGAAUCAGACGGUUAUUUGUAUUCUUGUAGUUGGAAAGGAACAAAACAACUUGGUCCAAAGGACUUCCUUGGUGAAAAUGAUUCACGUUUUCCAAAUGUCACCUGUUGAGUAUGCACACAAUCACAAAGACUACUUUAUAAAAAUGAAAAUUCUGGAGGCAACAUAGGUUCGUUUUGUGAAAAUAUUAGUCCUACCUGACUCACAACAUCAUUGGUUCAUGGGUAAGAGAAUUGCUUGGGGGCAGUCAUUAGACGAUGAUGAAUGGAGGGUGUGUGUGUUUGUGUGUGUGUAUGUGUGUGUAUGUGUGAAGACAGAUGUUUCUGACAUUCCUGUAAAUCUUCCACAAAUCAAAAUACCAGAGGAUUUCUCCAUUAGGUCUUGCUGGUGGAAGGAGUUUUUAAAUGUGAUACGAAAUAGGAUAACUACGGACCCAAUUGAAAGAGAUACAGAAUCUCAGGGAUUGAAUGAGUUUUGGGGUCCACUGACAAUGGUGACUGACAUUUCUUCCACUUGCAAAGUCAAGAGGAAAGAAACAAGGAAAAACAAUCAGAUGUGUAAGUCAGGCAAUUUAUUCUCUUUCUUUUAUGAUAAAAUCAACACAAUAUUAUCCUGUGCUACAUUCAUGUAUCUCCCUCAGCCUAUGUGUAAACGCGGCUGCCGAUCACAGAAAGGACACCACUCUCUUUGGCUGCCUUUCGUAGCAAUCAUAUCUGAAACUCUUGAGUUCAAUUGCCUUAUACAAUUUAUAUCCACAUUUUAAAAUUUUGCAUAGAAUCUGGCAAGGACAGCAACUUUGGUUCUUUGGCUGUUACUUUCUGGUUUUAUUAUCUGGAAUUGGCCCAAGACCCUUCUAGUGUGUCACACGUUUGGUUUCUGAAUUAAAACAGGAAAUACUGAAGCAGAUUAAAAUGGAAACAGCAACAAAGUGGUAUUUUCCAAGCAUGAAUAAAAUAUUGGUCUAAAGUGGAGGGGAUUUCCA
rnacentral:lncRNA from 1 species